CCUACGGGUGGCAGCAGUAGGGAAUCUUCCACAAUGGGCGAAAGCCUGAUGGAGCAACGCCGCGUGGGUGAAGAAGGUCUGCGGAGCGUAAAACCCUGUUGUUAGAGAAGAAAGUGCGGGAGAGUAACUGGUCACGUGUCGACGGUAUCUAACCAGAAAGCCACGGCUAACUAAGUGCCAGCAGCCGCGGUAAUACGUAGGUGGCAAGCGUUAUCCUGAUUUAUUGGGCGUAAAGGGAACGCAGGCGGUCUUUUAAGUCUGAGGUGAAAGCCUUCGGCUUAACCGGAGUAGUGCCUUGGAAACUGUGAGACUUGCGUGCAGCAUAGGAGAGUUCAUCUCCCUUUGUAGCGGU
rnacentral:rRNA from 1 species